CCUAGAAUGCCUGAGGAGGCUUUUGUAGAGUCUUGUCCUGUUUGUCUUCAAAAUUGUAAUUGUAAAGCUUGCUUGCGGUUGGACGGGCCGAUUAGGGCUUUGAAGAACUUACAAUUUGAGAUUAGCAAUGAAGAAAAGGUUCAAUACUCUAAAUUUAUCUUGCAAAAACUUUUGCCCUUCUUGAGAAGAUUCAAUUCAGAGCAAGUGAUGGAGAUGGAGAUUGAAGCUAAGAUUCAAGGCGUAUUAAGGUCAAGGAGGUCAAGGAGGUCGAGGCGGAUAUGUGCAAGAUGAGCAGGGAAAGAGCGACCGGGCCAGACGAGAUUCCGGUUGAAUUUUGGAAAAGCGCGGGUAGGGCUGGUUUGGAGUGGCUAUUGUUUAACGUCAUUUUUAGUACAGCGAUAAUGCCCGAAGAAUAGAGGUGCAGUACGAUGAUUUCGUUGUACAAGAACAAGGGUGAUAUUCAAAAUUGUAAUAUCUAUAGGGGUAUCAAGCUGUUAAGCUACACUAUGAAAGUUUGGGAGAGGGUGGUGGAGAUGCGGGUGAGGAGGAAAGUGUCUAUUUCCGAGAACCAGCUCGGAUUCAUGCCGGAGCGAUCGACAACGGAAGCCAUCCAUCUUGUAAGGAAAUUGGUAGAGGAGAGGAAAAAAGAUUUGCAUAUGGUGUGUAUUGAUCUAGAAAAAGCAUACGACAAAGUCCCGCGAUUGAGGACAUGUAUGAUGGAACCAAGACCCGAGUUAGGAUAGUGGGAGGAGACUCGGGAACUAGGGUCCAGCUCUUAGCCCGUUUUUAUUUGCCUUGGCGAUGGAUGUAUUAACGCAUCACAUUCAAGGUGAGGUGUCAUAGUACAUGUUAUUUGCAGAUGAUAUAGUACUUAUUAAUGAGACACGAGGCGGAGUUAACACUAGGUUGGAGGUUUGCAGACAUAUGCUAGAGUCUAAAGAUUUCAAGUUGAGCAGGACGAAGACAAAAAUCUACACAGUGAUGUUAAAUGGUGAACAGUGUGUUUUUAUCUGCUUCUUAUAAAUCUAUCUUAUAUUCAAAUUAUUUCCAGGUGAAUGUACUAACACAUACUCAAGGAAUAAAGCUGACACCUGAGCAGCUUUCAACGAUAGAAAUAUUGAAAAGAACAUAUGCUUCCCAGGAUAAAAGGGAACUUAAAUUGGCUGAGGAGGAGCAAAAAUGUAAAAAUAAAGCAUCAUCUGAGUUCAACGAGGGCCAAUCUUUGCUAGGUGAGAUACCUGAUAUAAUUACAGUUUAAGACUUAGUGAGCUACUGAUCAAGAAAGAAAAAAGAAACAUGUACUAAAUUGUGGUAAUCAAUCAAUUGUUGCAUCUGCUUCCUGUGUGAAAUUAGAGAGAGAUACUGCUGCUGCUGAGGGGAUAACAUGUCACACCCCAACCUUGGGAGGUGUGGCUGGCACCCGAUGCCCGAAGGCCCGAGCGAACCAACUUAUGAUCUGAAAUAUAAUAACCUACAGGCAGAAGAGCCCAACACGACAUAUAUAUAUAACCUAGACCAACAAGGCUGCAACCACAUUAUAACAGCUAUCCAGGAGGCCGAUAGGGCCAUACGAAAAAUAUAUAUAUACAAUGACCGCUAGUCUGCAACCCUCUAAGAGUGUAAGACAAUCUCAACAGGGCGGGACAAGCCCCCGACAUGCCCAAAACCACACAUAUACAUAUGUAAUAGUACCUAUGGACUCAAAGUCAGCAACUCCGAAGAAGUGGAGUGCGAAACCCAACGCUGAUCCUGGGGGUCCUACUGAGAAGGCACGCCGCUCUGUCUAUCCGAACCUGUGGGCAUGAACACAGCGCAUAAAAAUGCGUCAGUACGAAAUAUGUACUGAAUAUGUAGGGCGACAAGUGUAACAUGAAAAAUGUAAUUAACAAGAGAAGAGAUAUAGAGACAAUUUGAAUUCUGAAACUAGCCUCGGUAGGAAACAAAAAUUCAACAUAGAUAUAAAUGUAUGCUCGUGAAAUCGUCGUUCACUAUUGCUACUUAUAAUAUAUCCCAUUAUAUAAUA